GAUGAACGCUGGCGGCGUGCCUAAUACAUGCAAGUCGAGCGAACAGACGAGGAGCUUGCUCCUCUGACGUUAGCGGCGGACGGGUGAGUAACACGUGGAUAACCUACCUAUAAGACUGGGAUAACUUCGGGAAACCGGAGCUAAUACCGGAUAAUAUAUUGAACCGCAUGGUUCAAUAGUGAAAGACGGUUUUGCUGUCACUUAUAGAUGGAUCCGCGCCGCAUUAGCUAGUUGGUAAGGUAACGGCUUACCAAGGCAACGAUGCGUAGCCGACCUGAGAGGGUGAUCGGCCACACUGGAACUGAGACACGGUCCACACUCCUACGGGAGGCAGCAGUAGGGAAUCUUCCGCAAUGGGCGAAAGCUUGACGGAGCAACGCCGCGUGAGUGAUGAAGGUCUUCGGAUCGUAAAACUCUGUUAUUAGGGAAGAACAAAUGUGUAAGUAACUAUGCACGUCUUGACGGUACCUAAUCAGAAAGCCACGGCUAACUACGUG
rnacentral:rRNA from 1 species